rnacentral:lncRNA from 1 species
GUAGAUUUUGCCCAUUCUAGAACUUUAUAUAAAUGGGAUUAUGCAAUAUGCAUUCUUUUUUUUUUCUUUCUUUCUUUUUUUUUUUUUUUUUUUUUUUUUUGAGGGACUCAGCUGCUGCAUAUGGAAGUUCCCAGGCAAGGGGUCAGAUCAGAGCUGCAACUGCCUGCCUAUGCCAUAGUCACAGCAACAUCAGAUCCAGGCCAAGUCUGUGACCACACCACAGCUCAUGGGCAAUGCCAGAUCCAUAAACCACUGAGUGAGGCCAGGGAGCAAACCUGUGUCCUGAUGGAUACUAGUCAAAUUUGUUACCACUGAGCCACAAUGGGAACUCUAUGCAAUAUGUACCCUUGUGAGACUUCUUUCACUCAGCAUAAUGUUUUCAAGAUUCUCCCAUAAUAUUAUAUGUAACAAUAAGGUGUUCCUUUUAUUGCUGAUCAGUAUUCAUUUAUAUAAAUAUGGCACUGUUUGCUUAUCCAUUCUUUAAUUGGUGGACACCUGGCUAUUUCUACUUUUUGGUUAAAAUGAACAAGGCUGCUAUGAAUAUUCUUAUAAAAGUCUUUUCCAGGUGUGUGUUUUCCUUCUCUUUGGUCAAUGACAAGUUGCAGAUCUUCUGGGUCUUAGGUUAAGUAUAUGUUCAGUUUUGUAAGAAACUGACCAGCCCUUUCCCCCAUUUUUCCUCUUUAAGAGGUUGUACAUUUUCUACUACCACCAACAAGAAAUAAUAGCUGUUCACCCUUGCCAGCAUAUGGCAUUGUCAAUCUUUUUAAUUUUAGCCAUUUGGGUGGGUGUGUCGUGGUAUCUUGUGAGAAAAUGGAUUUUUAAAAGAUUUAAAAUUAUCUGAAACUAAGUGAGACAUUUUUGGGCUACCAAAUUUUUCAGGGAAGUUACAUUUCUAAUUGUAUUAUUUUUGGAUGUGUUGAGCUAGAGAGUUAAGAGGGGAAAAAACCCAUGUUCUGUCAAUGUCAAAAGCAUUAAGAAAAUAAUAUAGCUGCUAUUGUAUACUUAUGUUCCAAGAACACUCUUCUAAGCUCUUUACACACAUAAACUCUCAGUAACUAGCAUGUAUUGAGAGAUUACUAUUUGCUAAGCACCUAGCACUUUACUUGAUAAAACUUAAACCUUCUCUACAACUUUGCCAAGUCAGUACUGAAUGCCAUUUUUCAAAGAUAAAGAAUCUGGCUGGCCCAAGACCAGUAACUGCGAGGUCUAGGAUCAGAACUCACAUCAAGACCCAUGCUUGGGGCUUGACCCUGCCCUACCUCACUGUGUCUGAGGGGUCACCUCGAGACGGAUGACAUUGUGCUUGGAUCUUUCUCUGCUCAAAUUUCCAAGCUUCUUUAAAGUUUCCAUCUGAGCAAACUGUAAGGCAGGGGUACCGCUUUUGCUGGCUCAGCAUGCGGCCGGAGAGAGGAAACAAAAUUUCUGUGACCUAAGAAGCAAAUCUCCCUUAAGGCAAGACAUUUCUGGCUAUUUCAAUUUCAUUCACUUAGCAACUUCUGAGACUCAAUCUCCUGUUCCUUCUCUGGAAGUCAGACUCAAAGCCUAAUUGAGACGUACGUCUCCUGCCAUCAGCUUCAGGCCCUAUGCUGACUAAUGUCUGCCCCAGAGGAUAAUUAAGCAACCCGGCACUUGAGACAGCACAGCUAGGCUCACACGGGUGGCAGGAGGGCUCACUGGUUAGGACAAUCUAUUUUGGAGUCAGAGGGACCUGCAUCCGACUCUUGACUCUUAUCAUAUUCCAGCUGUGAACUUCCGGUAACUUGUGUUAUCUUGCUGAGCCUCACUUUCUGUGGCUCACUUUCUGCAUCUGGAAAAUGGGCAUAAUAAUCUCAAUACAUACAUCACAGAGUGCUUCUAAGAUUAACUGCAGUAAUGACUAAAAUAGUCAUCACACUUCAUGACCUAGAGCUCAAGAAAUGUUGAAUAAUACUAUCCUGAUUGUCUAAUAGUGUCUGUCUUCACUAGAGAUUAUUAACAAAAGAAAAUGAAUGUUACUAGUGAGUGGGUCUAGGUUAGAAAAAGAGAACUGUGAUUUAAUCCAAACCAACUAAAUGCUGCACUAACUACAUUCAUAGUUGCAGUGAUUCUGGGAGGAGGGAUUAAGAGUUGCACUUUACAGAUGAGGGAAAGUAAGUCACAAAGUGGUUAAAUAACAUUACCAAAGGCGAUGAGGGGUCAGAGUCAGGAUCACCAAUAGAAGAGAAAAAAAAAAUGACUGCAUCAAAAACUACCCUAGGCAGAUGCUGUAUCAGGCGGUCCAUGGCCACUGGAAAUGCUAGGAACUAACACUGUUUAAUUUGGUGGGUGGAACAGGAAGCUUGAAACAGAUCGCAGAUGGAGCAUAAGAAAGAUGUAGAAAGCAAAACGAUGAGCUCGGUCAUUUAAAGAUCUUCUUUUAAUUUUGGGUUUCAUAUCUUUCCUGAAGGGUGACCUUGGGAACAGUUACUGAAUCAUGCUGAACCUUGGUCUUCAUAUCUGGAAAGUGGACCCAUCUGGGCAGGAUCCCAAAGAAAACUAUGUUCUGAAAUUUAAAGCCCUGUCGGCAGGGUAUUCCAAAGAAGACAGCAACCCUUGAAUCAAUAAUCAGGCUUGAGAAUGAAAGGCUUGCACAGUUAUAAUUCACGCUUGCCAUUUGAGCUGCCAUCGGUGACCACUGGCUGGAGGCUGGGCCUCAGUCACAUUUAACUCAGCCUCUUCUUUGAGUGGAUCCAUCCCCUUGCUUCUCUCAGUCCAAGCCACCAUCAGUUCGUGCCCAGGUCCCCAUCAGUCUUCCUGCUUUUCCCUUUGCCUCUUCGUCCCACUUCGAUCCUUGUGGCUUUUAAACAUAUAAAGUAAAUCCUGUCACUCAUCUGCUGGGAACCUAUUAGUGGCUUCCAGUUGCUUUAAUUAUUAAAUCCAAACUCUUUUUAAAUAAAGUAUAGUUGAUUUACAAGGUUCCUUCAAUUUCUGCUCUAUAGCAAAGUGACCCAGUCUCAUAUAUAUGUAUAUAUAUAUAUAUUCUUUUUUUUAUACUAUCUUUAAUCAUGUUCUAACCCAAGAGAUUGGACAUAGUUCCCUGUGCCGUACAGUAGGACUUCAUUGCUUAUCCAUUCUAAAUGUAACAGUUUGCAACAACUCACUCCCAAUCUCCCCAUCCACCCAACUCCCCCACCCCCAAACACAAAACUACAAGUCUGUUUUCCAUGUCUGCGAUCUGUUUCUACUUUGUGAUAGAAUCAUUUGUCAUAUUUUAGACUCCACUUCUAAGUGACAUCAUAUGGUAUUUGUCUCUUUCUGAGUUAUUUCACUUAGUUUGAGAGUCUCCAGUUGCAUCCAUGCUGCUGUAAAUGGCAUUAUUUUGUCCUGUUUAUGGCUGGGUAGUAUUCCAUUGUGUACAUGUGCCCCAUCUUCUUGAUCCAUUCAUCUGUCAAUGGACAUUUGGGUUUUUUCCAUGCCUUGGCUAUUGUGAAUGGUGGUGUGAAAUAUCCAAACUCUUUAAAAGGCCUGAAAUACCAUCAUGUUUGGGGCCCUGUGGACCCCACCAAUUUCAUCUGAUACCUUCCCUCUGCCACUGAUUCUCUUUGCUCCAACCACACUGGCCUCCUUCUCUUUGUGACUGAGCCAGGCUGUCUCAACCUCAGGGCCUUUGCACCAGCUCUUCCUUCUGUCCAUGGUCCGUGAUACACUCCUGCUAAAUUUUCACAUGGCUACCUCUUCUCUCUGUCAGUCUUGGCCAAAUAUCUUCUUCUCAGAAAGGGUCUCUGAAUCAUGCUAAUUAGCCCCCAAUUAACUCCAUCACCUGGACUCAUUUCCUCAUGGUCACUAUGGGACACUGGGGUUAGUCGGUUUUCCUUUUACUUUCUAAUGACUGCCCCACCUGACUACAGUGUAAGUUCCAGGAGAGCAGAGGCCUUGUUUUGUGUAUUUCUGUAUUCCUAUGCUUAAAAUCAGGCCUGGCUCACAGUUGGCACUUGGACAAUAUCUAUAGAAGGUGCAAAUAAAUACCACUAGUCUUGGAACUGUGUGAUGGGGGUGGGAGCCAGCCACACAAGGAAGGAGCCCAUCGUUUCUCUCCUGGCUGAUCUUUCUCUCCAUUGCUGGGGAUGGGGGGAUGGGGAUGAGGGGUGGCCUGAAAUCAAUUUAAUCAGCUAUGCCUGCCAGUCCAAUCCAGCCUGGAGCCUCUUGGCUAGCAUCUCAUUAGUACUAGAGGACAAAGAGCAAGACUGUGCUUGUGAGAGGAUGUGGAGAAUGAGCUAAAGCUGCAUGGCCCUAAUAGGCCAUCAGAGACUAUAGCAACUGCAGUGGCCCCUGUGAAUCUGGAUACCAAGGGAGGCAGGUGGGGAUGCAGAGAGGAGGCUGGAGGGAGGAGAUGGGAGCUGAUCUAGAGAAAUAGCCAGGCAAGGGCCAGCACUCAGAGGUGGAGUUUUUAUAAGUCCCCUGGCCAAUUAAAGUGCUCUAAGUAAAACUGCAUCCCCAACCUAUAACACCAACAGCUUCAAAGCUGCUGCUAAUCAUGCAAAAGUACCCAGACCAGGUCAAUGGGCUGAGGAAGUCAAAUCUUCCUUCCCUGCUUCUCCGUAGCCACUCCUUACUGGCUUCUUGGGUUGCUAAACUCAUGGAGUAGACCCUGCAAUUCCCAGUCUGAUAAACUUCCAGUGCAUCCUUCUCUCUUGGGAAAAGGAGGACACCAAGCCCCUCCCUACUGCUGGCAUGCCUCAAGGUCAGCUGUUUCAUUGGCCAUGAACAUGUGCAUGACAUUGCCCACGGGCAGAGAUGGGUUUCUGUUCAGAUGGUCCCAAAGCAAGAGCCAGCUAACUGUGCCAUGUCCAGAGAAUAUUAUGGGCCUCUGUCUGUGACUAAGCAGAAUUAAUCAGCUCAUCCUACCAUGGAAAUCCCUUUUCAUGUGAUGUGCAGGAUUUAGACUUAGAAGUAUUUGAUAGGGUUCCUGUUGUGGCGCAGUGGAAAUGAAGCUAUUAUCCAAGAGGUUGCAGGUUCGAUUCCUGGCCUUGCUCAGUGAGUUAAGGAUCUGGUAUUUCCAUGAGCUCUGCUGAAGGUCGCAGAUGUGGCUCAGAUCUGGCAUUGCUGUGGCUAUGGCACAGGCCAGCAGCUACAGCUCCAGUUUGACCCCUGGCCUGGGAACCUCCAUAUGCCACAUUGUGGCCCUGAAAAGACAAAAAACAAACAAACAAACAAACAGCAAGAAGAAGUAUUUGGACUUCACCCCUUGCUAGCUGCGUAACUCUGGGCCAGCACAGGAUGCUUCUAAACUUCCCUUGCUUCUUCCUGUACAACCAGGAUAAGGACACUUCAAACACCUGCUUUCUGUGAUGGCUAUGAGAUGGGAAGUGUCCUGUUAUUGAACAUACCACAUUUCUCCAGAGAUGUCUGUUCUCAAGUCUGUCUUCUCUGUUGGAUUAUGAGCUUCUUGAGGACAACUGCAAUUUCUCAGGACAGCAGGUGAAAUGUGAGUCAUGCUGAGUACAGGGAAUUAAAUGAAUGUGAAAUACAUUUAUAAUUGGGACCAAUUUCCAGCCAGUAAGUGUUGAUAGGAUCAUAUUCUCUCUUACGGUAUUGAAGUAUUUCCAUACUGUUCCACAGACAUUGACCCAAGCUCACAGUCGCCUCAGUGGCACUGGGGCAGCCUCCUUCCAGGAGGAGUGACUAAAUGGUUAACACCUGCCUCCCAGGUGGGGACGGGCUAGGUCCCUGCUCUGGCACUUCCGGCUUCCAUUUGUUUGCUCAGUUUGAUUCCCUAGACUUGCUCAGUGUGUUAAAGAUCCUCUGUUGCC